CCCUUGAUGAUCGGCCCUGGAUCCAAACACCACCACAUCCCCUGCCUGUGCCGGUGUGCCCCUUCACCACCGCCGCCCCCCUGCCCGAUAACCACACACAGACCAUAUUUUCAUUGCUAGAAUCAAGCCCCUCGACCGACCACGUUUGGUUCUGGCUCAAAUUGAAUCGAGGACCGCGCGGAUCGGCCGGCAGGAGCCCUGGCGGAGUGGAGCGCAGCGCCACCCGCGGACUGUUUUCCUUUGUGAGCAAUUCAAUUCUCCAUCUCUGUAAGCUGACAUGGAUCCAUAUCUCCACCGCCGCAUGGAUAGUCUCGAUUGGGGAUGUGGCGACAUGGGGACGAGGGGCCGCAGGUUUGAAUCGGGGGGCGAGCUCGUAGGUGCGGCGGCCUCGAUCGGGCGGCGGCAUGCGUGAAUUAGCAGGAGGCGCAACAGAUUUCAGGUCAGUAGCCACAGUCCACGACACCUCCCGAUUUGGCUUUGACUCGAACUGCUUGCGAGAAGCCCUACCUGGUUCAUUUCUUUGGAAAAUUCUCGGAUAUGUGGUUCUUAUAUAUUGGUUUGGGAAAUCUACACCUGACAUUUUGCAAUGGCUAAUGAGAAGAAUAUCUUUGUCAAUGUGUCAAAAUUGAUACGGAAAUGCAUUUCUUGAUUCAUGGGCAUUCACUUUGACCACAGACAGUUGGAUCAGCAGCAGGCCAGAGGCGGUUGCAGCAAGGGCGUCUGCGUGCCUGACCUAUCUCUUAAAGUUUGCUCCAUCUCGAAUUCUCGAUGCCUUGUAUUACUUGAUUUAUUAUGUAAGCAUUUGUCUGUAAUGUGUUGAGUACAAUUAUGUUGAAUACAUUUACUCCAAGCAAGCUAUAGUUUCUAAACUGGAUUGGAUCAGCGACCCUAGGGUCUGCUUGGAGUGUUAAAGGAGAAGAGAUGGCACGGACAAGGGGCCGGUCGAUGCCGAGAUAGACAAGCAGUGCAGGGUCGGCAUGGAGCUGAACAACAAGGUCAUGCUGCACAACUGUAGCCACACGAUGUGCAUCAAAGUGCUAUCGUCAAUGAUUUCUAAAAGAAGUCUGUAAGGAGGAGAAAUCACAGCUAGCAUCAAGAAGAUCCUAAAUUGCUAAUUAUUUGAUUUCAUAUUCAAGUGGCGCCACAAAUGGAUAGGACGCACCACCUGAGAGGAAGCAUUUGAACCAGAGCUCCUCAUGACAGAGAUGCAUGGUCAGCAAAAAAUGACGAGCAACAUUCUCGUUUGGUGAUAUGCAUUUCUUACAAGUGUAAUAGUUGUGAGUUGAGCUACCAUCUGAUCCAGGUAAACAACAUCUUCAUCGAGUUACCUACUUUCAGUACGCCAAUUGUUUUUGGUUGAACAUUUGUAAAAUAUAACUUCUCUGGCAAUUUGUCCUUGAAUACAAAAAAAAAACUUAUGCAUGUGUAACUUUUUUGUACGAACUCUUUGAUGAUUAUGCUUCAGAUGAGUUUCUAAAAUGUUCAGAGAAGCUGACUUUUUUUUGGGCACGCGGUUCUACUGAAGGGAAUGAGUUUAUUGAGGCCAAGAAGAAGAGUACAGAUUGUAAGCUGCUCAGGUGCACAUCACGGCAGUAGACAGCAAAAGAAGUAAGAAGGCGUGAGUUCCAUUUGUGAUGAUCCUAAGGACAAGUAGUGCUUAUUUUCUGUUAUGUACUGUAAGUGAGGAAGGGCUUAGAGCUCCCAGUGUGGGCGAUGAUGACCAGAUCUCGGUGUUGUUUCUCCUGCUUACAACGUUCCAUUUCCCGUGGCUGAUUGGCUGACUGCCAAAACAGGAGGUCGACAAGAUUUGUGCCGCCGUAUCACCGGUGUUUAUUCUUACAAGUGUGCUUCAGUUGAUUAUUGUGGACUGAUAAUGCUUCUAUCAUGUGUAGAUUAGGCUACUGGAGUUCUAAAUGCUAUCGUCAAGUGAUAUUUUCAUCUCCAGUUUGCAUUUUGUCCCAAAAUUUCAUGUUUGCUUCCCUUUUUUUCAGUUUCCUUCAGGCUUAUAUUAGGUAAUACAUCAUCUUUUCUUACCCUUUCCACUAGAAGAAUGAUGAGGGCCUCAAUCUGCCGUUUAAAAAAGCAAUGAUUUGACCAAGAUGCGCGGAGUCCAGACAAGAUAGCAAUGAUGGUGCAAAAGGGAGUGUAGGGGAGCCGGGGACAACAAAAUUAGGUAACUUCGCAAUAGUGGUAGAGAAGAUGUAUUUGAGGGUGGAAAACAAGGGGCAAUCAGAAAAAGAAUUGGAGAAACCAUGUACAUAACAGCAUGCCAUCAGAGAAAAAACUGGAGAAAUAUAUGUAUCAUUGUGUACAUGGUUUUUUUUCCCGUGGCAACGCACGGGCAUUUGUACU